UGCAUAUCUACAACAAGCAUGGCUUCC
rnacentral:piRNA from 1 species